rnacentral:rRNA from 1 species
AGUGUGAAACCCACCUCAAGAUGAGAUUUCCCAUAACUUUAUGUUAGUAAGAGCCCUGAGAGAUGAUCAGGUAGAUAGGUUGGAAGUGGAAGUGUGGUGACACAUGUAGCGGACCAAUACUAAUCGCUCGAGGACUUAUCCAAA